UGCCUGAGCUGGCAUCCUCUUCCUCCUGUCGGCGGGAGGUGUGGAUCACCUACUGCGUGCGGGGAACAAACGCCGCCCCAGUACCGGUCCCUGCAGCGGAGUAGCCUUCACCUGCAAGGUGAACGCCUGCUCACCACGUAAUCCCCAAACGCAGAUAUCACGUUGUCUCUGCAACUUUCCCUGACAACCACCCAAUGCAAUUAAUUAUCCCACAAUAGUAUCUCCCGCAGGCUCUCUGUAGAACCAUAGAAUUCAUCCAUCAAAAUACAAUCAUUUGUUGAUCCGUCUCUCUCUGCCGCCCCCAAAUGUGAAUUCCUUGAGUCAGAGACUAUUCUACUCAGCAAAACAUUUGUGAGUGGAAUUAAAUUGAAAUAAACCGUUAUAGUCCACUCACAGAUGGAAAACACAUAGUAAAAUCCUAGAAUUCCAUUUCUCCCCUGAAAAUUUCCCAGACAGUCAGAGGGAGUUUCAUUCUUUCCUGUUUACUUUUCUCCCAAAUAGGCCUUCUGAGGCAGCAGAAUAGGGAAGGAAGUCAGAAGACUGACCAGCUCAUACCUAUGGAAUGCCUAUCAUACAUACACUUAAAAUUAUGGCAAGCUCACGCAGGCGCACUAAGAGAGAAAAAACAAGAAAACAGAUAUGACAAUUAUAGGAAAUCCCCUCCCUAGAGUUAAAGAAGUGUAGGAAGUGGGUAUAAAAGAACAAAGGCUAUAUUAAUCCAGGGCUGACACCACUUGAAGAUAAGCCCGUUCCUCUCUCUGGUAUAUUCUUUGCUUAAUAAAUCUUGUGGGGUGGUUAUUUGUGUGUCUCAUCCAAUUCUUUGUUCAUAACACCAAGAACCUGGAACUCCCAACUUCCAAUCUGGUAACAUAUUUUGGUGAGCCAGCCAGGAGGGUCAAGCCUGCAAUACCUAAAGCUCCAGACCUGGAACCCAAAGCUCCCAUCAGUCGCUACCCUGUGAACCUGUGGAGGAUCUGAAGUACCUGUUUAAAAGGCAUCCAAAAGAUAGAAUCUAUCAAGCUACAAAUGGCUAUGUUGCCUGAAGCCCCAGACAUCAUCCUACAAGAAAUAAGUCCAGACUUCUUAAUUUCCCCCUGGAUAGAGCAGGGUCUUGUUGAACUGGCUAGUGCUUCAACAACAAUGCUAAAUAAUAAAGGAUCUAACAAUAUUUCUGCUUUAAAUUGAUUUCAGAGGGAAUGUCUCUAACGUUGCAGUUAAGUAUCAUGUAAGCUUUAGGCCUGAGAUAGAUCUUUUAUCCAGUUAAAGGAAUAUUUGUCUGUUCUUAAGUUUUAUAAGGAAUUAGUUCUGCAUUUGAUUAAAUGUCUUUCAAGUAUUUCUUUGAAUUGUUGACAGCAGAUACAUAUUCUUUUUUUUUGUUUUGUUUUGAGACUGAGUCUUGCUCUGUCGCCCAGGCUGGAGCGCAGUG
rnacentral:lncRNA from 1 species